GCCUAGUUUAAGGGUUUCACCCAAUAUUCAGUGUUCUUUUUCCCAUUAAGCAAAUUCAAUGUUUUCCCGGUUCCCUCAAAGUUUGUAAAAUUUUGGCAUUCAACGUUCUCCAAAUCUGCAAAACAUCGUGGCCAUCGCAUUUGGGAUCAAUAAUUUACCAUCUCUUUUGCUUCUCUGCUUCGAGUAAAUCGGAUCACCGGCGUGAGUUUGAUCAGUCACUCAUUCUUUCGUAUACAAAAUGGCUACAAUCUCUUCGUUCUUCUUGAUUCUUUUCCCACAUUUGGGUGUUUACUAUAUUGUUGUGCGUAUUCUUUGUGUACUAUCGAUUUCAAACGUUUUUCAUCUGCUUGUGGAGUGACACUAUAUUUCCCAAUUGAAAUCUGUUGGCUGUUCGCGAACUAGAAUAUUUCUCUCGUGCUUAAAUCUAAUAUUUGGUUAUUGGUAUGUUCUGGGUUAUCAGCAUGAUUUCUUCAGGAUUUCUCGAGUUCAAUGGAGCAGUGCAAGUUUAUAAUCAUGCCUGUGAUUCAAAUCCUCAUAAUGUCUCUUUGAUUUCUCUACCGGUUAUCCGGAAGGGUUUUGAUUCUGAUGUACGGCUGUUUAGAAGAGGGAUUUGUAGUAUGAGAAAUUUCAGGCUUUCAGAUGUUUGUGCGACCCCGCAAGUUUCAAUUAUGAACCACAUUACACCUGUUUCGGAUUGGAAUAGUGAUGAUUCUAUGAGGCCAUCAAUUGAAACAGCUCUGAUAUUAAUUCGACAUGGUGAGUCAAUGUGGAAUGAGAAGAAUUUAUUUACUGGCUCUGUUGAUGUACCUUUAACAAGAAGAGGUGUAGAGGAAGCAAUUGAAGCUGGUAAGAGGAUCAGCAACCUACCGAUCGACUACGUUUACACGUCUGCGUUAAUUCGCUCACAAAUGACAGCGGUGCUUGCUUUGAUUCAACAUCGCUGCAAAAAGGUGCCCAUCAUUAUCCAUAAUUGUAAUGAACAGGCAGAGGCAUGGAGCCAAAUUUACAGUGAUGAGGCUAGAAAGCAAUCAUUUCCGGUUAUUAGAGCUUGGCAAUUGAAUGAAAGAAUGUAUGGUGAGCUACAGGGACUGAAUAAACAGGAGAUUGCCAAAAGAUAUGGUGAAGAGCAAGUGCAUGAAUGGCGCCGGAGUUACGAAAUUCCUCCGCCCGAGGGUGAGAGCUUGCAGAUGUGCUCACAAAGAGCAGUUGGAUAUUUUAAAGAGCAUAUUGAACCACAUCUGCAAUCUGGGAAACAUGUUAUGGUUGCAGCCCAUGCUAAUACGCUAAGGUCUAUUAUCAUGUACCUAGAAAAAUUAACUUCUCGCCAGGAGACAGGUAAUUGGGUUGGAAGUAUCAACUGGGGUACCAUUACUUUACAUAUACAAGGAGGGAACGUUUAUGAAGCGAGGGAGUCCUGUCGGUUCUUCGGAAGCUGGCGUAUAUGCACUAACUAGGGCAAGAAUAUUCUACCUCUCCAUCAUCUUAUGUUUAUAAUUACUGAAUUUAGCACUUUACAGGCAAAAGUUGGACGAAAUGUCAUGCUGAAUCCCUGAAAUUCAGUGUUAUUGUUGAAGGUUAUCUGCAGCGGGCAUACCCACUUCCUGGAAAGACAAGGAGAUGCAUUCCACAAAAGCCAUAGAUACAAGUUUCCAUCUUUUAGUAUGGAAGAUGAUUUUAAUUUUUCAUUUAUGUUUCAUCCUAAUAUAAUCUAAGUAUUAUUAUCAACCAACACGAGUAUAAUUCAACCGUUAUGACAUUUAAUUUUUUUA